GCCUCCCCAACACGGGUGACGCCGGUCGCCGGCUGCCCCGGCCAUGCAGCCGCGCUAGGACGGUGGCACGAGGCCACCCGACGGCGCCACCGCCCCAGCACGGACCUGCGUGGUCGCCUCUUCUUUUGCCCCUGCUGCGGCUCCGCUCGGCACCCCGGUCUGCCCACGGCGCGUCACCUCUUCCUCUCCGUUGCCCUGGCUCAGCUCAGCUCAGCGACCGGAUCUGGUUAUAUUCAGAGAUGCUGUAGUUCUUAUACUGAAUUAUGUUCAUGACAUUCGAGCACAAGGUUUUAAGUUGGACUACAGCUAUUGCGAAAAUAAGAUGCAUAUUUGACUGAAUGUUUCACAGGUUGUGGCUUAGUUUCGCUGGAAUGUCCCACCUGCUUGCGAACUCCACUGGAUGGGUCUUCGCUCCUGCCCUCCAGACUUUGAUUGAUUGCAUAGGUAUAGUAAUUGAGAAAAUACUUCUGAACUAAUAUGUAUCUAGGUAUGGCCUUCUAAACCUCGGUCAAUGGUCUACAUUAAACAGUCUAUAUUGUCUAUCCUGCCAUUUGUCUCCAAAUGAUUAUUUUGGCUUA